UGGGUGACUGAGCUGCAGACUCACCCGGA
rnacentral:piRNA from 1 species